CCUGGUGUUCCCCCUUUCUCCCCCGCGCCCCUCCGCCCCCACCCCCCGCUUAGCCUCGCCGACACGGCGGCGAUGGCGUCCACGCCGCAGACUAACCGGAAGCUGGCUGUUCUACACCAUGCCAUCGGCGAUGGAUGCACAGCGGCAGAUGAGGUUGGUGUGUCGAGCAACAAGCCCGCUCAAGAAGAGCUUGCGAGCUCAAUGUCCUAUACAUAUCUCAUCCUGAGUUGCGGCUCGUCGUCCGGAUCUCCCAUGGUCGGAUUCGCGUAAGCGUCCUCUGCCCCGUGCUCUUUGGAUGAUUGCCCUUAUCAGCUAGCUGUGUCUCUUUUUUUUUUCUUUGUCCAGUCUUGGUGGUGAGCCGAUAGGCGAUAGCCCUGUUUUUUCUUUGUUCAGUGGAGAUUGCCCGUAUAGCUACUUGAUGGAGAUUGUGGAACAGCAAGCAGCGAAUGUGGGGGGCGUCGUGCAGAGUGAUCUUACUGGCGUGUGCGAACAACAAAAACAUACCUAUUCUGACCAGGAGAAUUGCUAUGCAGAGAAUGCGAGUGAGCCGCCUGAGUCCAGCAAUCCUUCGUGAUUGGGUUGUUUCUUCGGAUCAGGCUGUAGAUGAUGAUAUACUGUCCUUUGGAUCAAGCUGACGGAAGUGCUUAUUGGUUGCCAACAUUGAAAGAGAGCACUCCUGGCGCCGCAAUGCUAAUUGAUGAGAUGGAGCUGAGGCAAGCUGAUGAGCAGCAUCCAGGCGUUCACGCCCCGCAAAGUCCAGCAGCCGUGUCCGGUGUCACCCGACGAGCUCCGGACUGACCGCGGCCUGCUCGAGCGCUGCGACAAUCUGCUCGGCAGCAUCCUUCCCCUGCCCAAACACUACGAUUUUCAUUCGUACUGUGAGCGGACGCCGGCGAGCCGAGACGAAGGAACAACACGAGCUUCUUGGAGGUCCUUCUCCAUCCGUUCAUUGGCAGACGCUGAGACGAGGCAGGAGCACGCAUUCUUCGUCGCCGCCACGCAAGAACUCCAGGGCUUUUAAAGUUUCAAUUUUUUUUAGCAAUAAUGGUGAACGAAUUUGUCCAUGGUUGCUUGUUUUUCCCAUACAUUUUGUUGGACGAAAGAAAGAAACCUACAGCACAUUUGUUUUUGCACAUUCUGAUUACUGAGAUGUUGUUUAAAAAUUAUUGAUUAUAAUUAAGACCAAGCGAGCCAAUUUUUGGGAUGACCAAAAUUGAUUCGAACUUAAAUAAAAUCUUUUUUUUAUCUGA